rnacentral:rRNA from 1 species
UGGGGAAUAUUGGACAAUGGGCGAAAGCCUGAUCCAGCCAUGCCGCGUGUGUGAAGAAGGUCUUCGGAUUGUAAAGCACUUUAAGUUGGGAGGAAGGGCAGUAAGCGAAUACCUUGCUGUUUUGACGUUACCGACAGAAUAAGCACCGGCUAACUCUGUGCCAGCAGCCGCGGUAAUACAGAGGGUGCAAGCGUUAAUCGGAUUUACUGGGCGUAAAGCGUGCGUAGGCGGCUAAUUGAGUCGGAUGUGAAAUCCCCGAGCUUAACUUGGGAAUUGCAUUCGAUACUGGUUAGCUAGAGUGUGGGAGAGGAUGGUAGAAUUCCAGGUGUAGCGGUGAAAUGCGUAGAGAUCUGGAGGAAUACCGAUGGCGAAGGCAGCCAUCUGGCCUAACACUGACGCUGAGGUACGAAAGCGUGGGGAGCAAACAGG